rnacentral:rRNA from 1 species
AGAGUUUGAUCCUGGCUCAGAUUGAACGCUGGCGGUAUGCUUAACACAUGCAAGUCGAACGGCAGCACAGUAUGUAGCAAUACAUACGGGUGGCAAGUGGCGGACGGGUGAGUAACGCGUAGGAAUCUGCCUUGAAGCGGGGGACAACCCGAGGAAACUCGGGCUAAUACCGCAUAAUAUCGAGAGAUUAAAGCUGGGUGGUAACACCUGGCACUUCAAGAGGAGCCUGCGUCCGAUUAGCUAGUUGGUGGGGUAAAGGCCUACCAAGGCGAUGAUCGGUAACUGGUCUGAGAGGAUGACCAGUCACACUGGGACUGAGACACGGCCCAGACUCCUACGGGAGGCAGCAGUGGGGAAUAUUGGACAAUGGGGGCAACCCUGAUCCAGCAAUACCGCGUGUGUGAAGAAGGCCUUCGGGUUGUAAAGCACUUUAGUUGGGGAGGAAGAUACGGAGUUUAAGAGACACUGUAUUUGACUGUACCCAAAGAAUAAGCACCGGCUAACUCUGUGCCAGCAGCCGCGGUAAUACAGAGGGUGCAAGCGUUAAUCGGAAUUACUGGGCGUAAAGGGCGCGUAGGCGGUCGAAUAAGUUGGAUGUGAAAUCCCUGGGCUUAACCUAGGAACUGCAUCCAAGACUGUACGACUAGAGUGCUGUAGAGGGUAGUGGAAUUUCCGGUGUAGCGGUGAAAUGCGUAGAUAUCGGAAGGAACACCAGUGGCGAAGGCGGCUACCUGGACAGACACUGACGCUGAGGCGCGAGAGCGUGGGGAGCAAACAGGAUUAGAUACCCUAGUAGUCC